AGGCUGGCCUUGAACUCGUAAUCUUUCUGUCUCAGCCUCCUAAACUGCUGGGAUUACAGGCAUGUGCUACCACGCCCAAUUUUGCUGUGUUUUAAUUUGGUUGUUGGUCAUGGCCUACCAUUCUAGACCUUUCUUUGCCCUGUAUGGUGUCUUUCUGUUUUGGGUCUCUGGCUUUUCCUCUCCUUCUGACUUUUGCUACACCAUACUACAUCAGCUAUGUUGGCCUAUGUCUAAAUACAAGGGAUUGAUUAAGGUUCCAUAGUUUAAUAAGAGAUAGCCCAGGCCCUAUACAAAUUAGCUGAUGCAAAGGGUCAUGGGGGGAGGGUCUUUCUCAAUUCUUCUAGGCAGAAAUCUCCAAGUCUUGCUGUUGAUGGGAAGCAGUGUAAAAAUCAAGAUGCUGUGUUUAUGUAAAUUGUACUUUUGUGUAGUUCCAUUGUCCAUUGAGACCGUGGGAUACACAAUGCUCAGAUUAGUUCAAAACUUUUCUAACUCCAAAGCUGGGUUCUAAACUGCUGCUCCAGAGGCGUAGACUGCUCCACAGAAAGGGUUUUGGAUUAUCUGUCCUUGCAUGUACAGAAGAGAAUAGGGGAGAACCAGAGGGGGACGUGAUUCAGCUAGCCUCCCCCUCCCACCCACUGUUGGUUCUGGACUGGGUCCAAUGGGUGUCCAGAUGCCUGACAACAUUCUCCAGGCCAAGGUAUAUAAGAGCCUGUGGCCUGGGGAUGCGGGGACAGCUGGACAAACAGCUUGGGGGCUGCAGGGCCAAUCUCCUGCCAGGACUUGGUACCCCUGAGGGGGAGUAGGUGGAGUACUGGGAGCAGCAGGGGUGAUGGGCCCUUGCAAGCACCCUCCUUCUACAAACCUGUGCCUAACCCUGCCUUGAAGAACUCCCUUCUCAGUCCCUGACCAGCUCCAAGCCUGGAUGAGUCCAGAAAAGGUUCCACUGGAGGCUUCAGGGACUGAAUUGUGGUUUGGAUCAUUGUGAUCAGCUCCCAGGAUCAUUAGAGUAGCAGAGGGAUUCCCCAGCAGCCUCCCAGUUCAAGGAGAGCUUCUGAUGCAAACGCUCCCAUGGCAAAUGAUUUAUAGAGCUGGGAAUUAUCCCUUGGGGACCUUCUGGAUCACUAAAAACUUAGAAUUGGAUUCCCCUGGGCUAACUGGCAUGUGGACUUAGAUUCUGGCUGUGUUCAGUCGGAAAGCAUCAAACCUGGGAAUUUCCUAUUAUUCCAGAGCCACAGAGUCACACACCAUCAGAGCUGAAAGGUGUGAUUCAGGUAAAAACAACUCACUGUGUGGAUAAGGAGACCAGAACCCAGAACAGGCAAGAAGUUUGUCAGUAUAGAACCCAGCUCGCUCAACUCUGCUGUUCUUCCCACCAUGCUAGCCACCAUCACUCUCUCUCAUUUUCUGGGAUAAGUAUUGACUUUGUACAACUUUAUUCUGUUCUGUGGAUUUAAAGUAUGAAC
rnacentral:lncRNA from 1 species